rnacentral:rRNA from 1 species
UACGGAGGGAGCUAGCGUUGUUCGGAAUUACUGGGCGUAAAGGGCUCGUAGGUGGCCAACUAAGUCAGACGUGAAAUCCCUCAGCUUAACUGGGGAACUGCGUCUGAUACUGGAUGGCUUGAGUUUGGGAGAGGGAUGCGGAAUUCCAGGUGUAGCGGUGAAAUGCGUAGAUAUCUGGAGGAACACCGGUGGCGAAGGCGGCAUCCUGGACCAAUACUGACACUGAGGAGCGAAAGCCAGGGGAGCAAACGGG